GACGUUUGAGUUGGUUUAAAGGUGAACUCGAAAAAUAAAACAGCCAAACCUUGGAGAAAAGCUGGCACCAUCGUCUGAUUCACCAUUGACACACCAGCAGAAGCUUUAUUCUCAACUUAGUCUACAAAGACCGUCAAAGAUAGAUACAGCAACAUAAUAAUAACAACUUUGUCUAAUUUUGAGAACGAAAAAAAACUUUGGUCUUAAUUCCAUCCGACUCUAUCUCACUUUCUUCUCCCUCUAAUUCAUCCUCCUUGCCUUAGACUCAUUUGCUUCAAAAACGGAACUCACAUUUGAAUCAAGCAAAAGCAUAUGGACAGACAUGAGUUCAUCACCGCGCCUAAUAUUCAUCACCUCCCAGAAACCCAACGACCUAACCUCAAC
rnacentral:lncRNA from 1 species